UACGUAGGUGACAAGCGUUGUCCGGAAUCACUGGGCGUAAAGGGCGCGUAGGUGGCCUGUGGAAGUCUGCGGUGAAAGCCCGGCGCUCAACGCCGGGUCUGCCGUGGAUACUCUCGGGCUCGAGCUUACUAGAGGCAGAUGGAAUUCCGGGUGUAGCGGUGGAAUGCGUAGAGAUCCGGAAGAACACCGGUGGCGAAGGCGGUCUGCUGGGGUAAUGCUGACACUGAGGCGCGACAGCGUGGGGAGCAAACAGG
rnacentral:rRNA from 1 species